UACCUGGAGGAAGAGAAAGAAAAAUCGAUUUUCUUAGUAGCGGCGAGCGAAAGGGAAAGAGCCCAAACCAAAGAUUUAUCUUUGGGGUUGCGGACAGAACAUUAACGAGAAAUUAUGGUUAACCGAACACAACUGGAAAGUUGGACCGUAGGGGGUAAUAGUCCUGUAGGUGAAAAUUAUAAUGAUCAAGUUCUGAUCCAGAGUACCACGAGACACGUGAAACCUUGUGGGAAGCAGGGAGGACCACCUCCCAAGGCUAAAUACUACCUGAUGACCGAUAGUGAAGCAGUACCGUGAGGGAAAGGUGAAAA
rnacentral:rRNA from 1 species